GCGGGGGUGCCCGAGCCAGGUCAAAGGGGGCGGGUAGGAUGGUCCCGUUGGCGAAGGCCUGCGUGGGUUCAAAUCCCACCCCCCGCACCA
rnacentral:tRNA from 1 species